rnacentral:rRNA from 1 species
GUGCCAGCAGCCGCGGUAAUACCGGCAGCUCAAGUGGUCGUCGCUUUUAUUGGGCCUAAAACGUCCGUAGCCUGUUUGGUAAAUCUGUGGGUAAAUCAACCAGCUUAACUGGUUGAAUUCUGCAGAGACUGCCAGACUAGGGACCGGGAGAGGUGUGGGGUACUCUAGGGGUAGGGGUAAAAUCCUGUCGUCCUUAGAGGACCACCAGUUGCGAAGGCGCCACACUGGAACGGAUCCGACGGUCAGGGACGAAGCCUAGGGGCACGAACCGGAUUAGAUACCCGGGUAGUCCUAGGUGUAAACGCUGUAAACUUGGUGUCGGGGAUCCGUCAUGGGUCCCCGGUGCCGGAGUGAAGAUGUUAAGUUCACUGCCUGGGGAGUACGGUCGCAAGGCUGAAACUUAAAGGAAUUGGCGGGGGAGCACUGCAACGGGAGGAGCGUGCGGUUUAAUUGGAUUCAACGCCGGAAAACCCACCAGGGCCGACUGUUAUAUGAAGACCAGUGUGAUGAACUUGUCGGAUUUUCAGAGAGGUGGUGCAUGGCCGUCGUCAGUUCGUACUGUAAAGCGUUCUGUUAAGUCAGAUAACGAACGAGACCCUCAUCUCUAUUUGCUACCUGUCUCUCCGGAGACAGCGCACUAUAGGGAGACCGCUGGUGUUAAACCAGAGGAAGGCGAGGGCAACGACAGGUCAGUAUGCCCCGAAUGUCCUGGGCUACACGCGCGCUACAAAGGACGGGACAAUGGGAAGCCAGGCCGAGAGGUCGAGCUAACCCGAAACCCGUUCGUAGUUCGGAUUGAGGGCUGUAACUCGCCCUCAUGAAGCUGGAUUCCGUAGUAAUCGUGUUUCAAAAUAGCACGGUGAAUAUGCCCCUGCUCCUUGCACACACCGCCCGUC